UGAUUUGUUUGUUAAAAUGCUUAAAAGCGCAGUUUCAUUCUGCAUAGUUAAUUUUGCUAUAAGGAUAAUGGAUUCUAUUUGUUCUGUAUAACAUAUUACUAUUCGAUCUGAUUGGCAAUUUUGAAGGUAAUCAUUUGCUUGCUUGGCUAAUCAAAUUUGUUGCAUCCUUUAUAAGUGGAUUCUUGAUUUAGGAACAAACAAUAGGUGUUGAAUGAGAAAUUAAAAUAUGAUGUUCAUAAGUUCAGUACGGUCUUGCAGAACCAACGAAGUGAAUAGACAACAUCUCUUUGCUUGAUUUCAUUCUUUGCAGUCUACGCUGGAUAUGCGGAAGUGUCAUUGGGACUGAAGACCAUCAUUUUACUUGUAAGAUCUCCAAACAUGUCUGGAGGCUGGAGGUUCUGGCGUACAAAGGUGGCUGGAGUCGACGAUUCAGACAUUGGAUGGCUGCACUGGACAUCUCAAACUGCCCCAGCUCUUCGUCUACUGUCACAACAAUUAAUACCAUUUUGCUUUUUUGUUUUUGAGAUUGCUCAAAGCAGUAAUGAAUGUUAAUUGGUGAGCUGCCGUGUGCUGGCCAUUUUCUCAAUCGUCACGCUAUUUCAAAGUCUGGACGGGGGCUGCUCGAUUUUCUCAUCUUGGACUGCCUAUACAGCUCGAGUGCACCAGUGAUUCUCUACAUUCUUCUUUGUAUUGUCCCUCCAUUUCUAGACAGGUCAGUUCUGCACUUGCAAAUGGAAACUGUUUAACUUCUUUGCGGAAGAGUUUAUUCGCUCUUUACGUUUAUUUCUCUCUCUCCUGUAGCUAUAGCUGCAUAUUUUGUGCUUCUUACAAUUGCAAUGGUUGACCUUUGACAGAGAGAGUAAAUUUCCUAAUGAUUUUCUUCCUAUUGUAGUAUUUACAUCAAUGCUCUCUAAGCAUGAAUGUGUUACAAAUUGCCACUUUGGUUGUCUUCUUUAUUUCUAGAUAAUACUAAAUUUAUAUCAGCUAAACAUCUGUCCCCGUUUGUUCUCCCCAAACACAAUGAUUAUAGGGCUGCCGAUGUUUUCUGGUGUUAGAAUUUCAUGGUUUGUCUUUUGGCAGCUGAUUAUUCAGUCGCAUGAUACUUGUGUUCUUAAGGGAAAAAAUUAACAUGAUAUUGUUUUGUGUCUAUUAAAUUGCUAUUUACACUUAAAUAGUUUAUCUAACAAUAGAAGUGAUAGAUACAAACUUUUCAAUGUGUUUGUUUGAUCUUUAUUACCCUGGUUUGUCUCUUAGCAUGCAUCUUGCAAAAAUAAUCAAAGAGAUGCUACCACUGCUGAUACAUCUAUAUGUAGCCAUCUCCAGAAUGAAUCGCUUCAGUUGGGAGUAGCUCUGCCUCCAUGCCUUUGUAUAAAUGAUAUAGACGAUUUGUACGAUUCAAAACUCGGAUCUGUACGGGACACAUGUGGAUGGAUCGUUCAUAACCCGCAACUAACAACCCAAGUACACCAUUGUACACCCAUUUUGUGCUUAAAUUGAACGUUUUCGGUGAUUUUUUCAGCACAUGCCAAAGCACUAGAGGUACAACGUUGCUUUUGGUUGUUUGGCCAGUACUUUCUACAUGCAAAAUCAAUUGUAUUUAUUGUAAAACAUUGCUUAAUAUCUGAACGUAGGACUUGAGCAUGCUAACUAUUUUACAUGUUGAUGCAUGCAUUCAUUUCCAUUUUGCUGAAAGAUGAGGGCUCAUACUAAGAUGCAUGCAUUCAUUUUUGUCUUGCUGAAGAUGAGGACUGAUAGUAAGAUGCAUGCAUUCUUUUGAGUAAACAUCUGGACACUGAUUUAAAACGGAUUUAGAAGUUGGUACAAGAUCACUUAGAAUUGUUUCGGAUUUUUUCCAAAUGAAAAUAUCUUUAAAUCAAUGAUGAUUGUACUGCAGCUACCGGGCAUCAAUUAGGACACACAAAAAUUGUUCAAGCAAGUGUUCUAUAUCACUUAUCACUCAAUUCUUGCGAAUUUUCAUGAGCCACCUAAUGUAAGGAGAUCAAUUUAUCACGUGAAGAUAUGUUUCUUCUGUUCAAAUGUGCCAAACUUGGGCACAAUGUUGGUGAUCAUGUGGAGUAAGUUGUAUAUGUGACUUAGUAGAUCAUCUGCUCCAUUUAUAAAGGGCAAUCUGAAAUGUUCCAGUCUUUUUCA